UACAGAGGUCUCAAGCGUUGUUCGGAUUCAUUGGGCGUAAAGGGUGCGUAGGCGGCGCGGUAAGUCGGGUGUGAAAUCUCGGGGCUUAACUCCGAAACUGCAUUCAAUACUGCCGUGCUUGAGGACUGGAGAGGAGACUGGAAUUUACGGUGUAGCGGUGAAAUGCGUAGAUAUCGUAAGGAAGACCAGUGGCGAAGGCGGGUCUCUGGACAGUUCCUGACGCUGAGGCACGAAGGCCAGGGGAGCAAACGGG
rnacentral:rRNA from 1 species